rnacentral:rRNA from 1 species
GAUGAACGCUGGCGGCGUGCCUAAUACAUGCAAGUCGAGCGAACAGACGAGGAGCUUGCUCCUCUGACGUUAGCGGCGGACGGGUGAGUAACACGUGGAUAACCUACCUAUAAGACUGGGAUAACUUCGGGAAACCGGAGCUAAUACCGGAUAAUAUAUUGAACCGCAUGGUUCAAUAGUGAAAGACGGUUUUGCUGUCACUGAUAGAUGGAUCCGCGCCGGAUUAGCUAGUUGGUAAGGUAACGGCUUACCAAGGCAACGAUGCGUAGCCGACCUGAGAGGGUGAUCGGCCACACUGGAACUGAGACACGGUCCAGACUCCUACGGGAGGCAGCAGUAGGGAAUCUUCCGCAAUGGGCGAAAGCCUGACGGAGCAACGCCGCGUGAGUGAUGAAGGUCUUCGGAUCGUAAAACUCUGUUAUUAGGGAAGAACAAAUGUGUAAGUAACUAUGCACGUCUUGACGGUACCUAAUCAGAAAGCCACGGCUAACUACGUG